AUGCUCCUCGCUGGUUGCCACCUUCGGCUUCAUGUGGUCAUGCCACCAGCGAGCCAAAGACGAUGUAGGAAGCAGGGGCGCCGACCCGACGUACCUGCUCUUCCUCGUCGACCACCGCUCACAAAUGAAGCCUCCUGUCCCGGACGAGUACCUCGGCAACUGCGUCGGCAUCGCCAGGCAUGCCGCACCCAUGGACCAGCUCACGGCAGCCGGCGCCGGCAGCCUCUUCAUCGCGUGCACGGCGGUAGCUGCGGCGAUCGACGAAGCGGUGCGGGGCAUCGGGUCACCUGA
rnacentral:rRNA from 1 species